rnacentral:misc_RNA from 1 species
CGCACAUUGCGCCCUUUGGUAUUCCAAAGGGCAUGCCUGUUCGAGCGUCAUUUGUACCCUCAAGCUUUGCUUGGUGUUGGGCGUUUUUGUCUUUGGUCGCCCAAAGACUCGCCUUAAAGUGAUUGGCAGCCGGCCUUUCUGGUUUCGCAGCGCAGCACAUUUUUGCGCUUGCCAUCAGCAAAACGGCAAUCCAUCAAGCCUCCUUCUCACGUUUGACCUCGGAUCAGGUAGGGAUACCCGCUGAACUUAA